CUUCGAUCACGAAGAAAGGACUUCAAGGAAGCUAGACACCUUUUCUUCUAGGAGAGAAGGAGAGUAAAAAUGGAAUGGGUCACUAAGAAAAUAAAAACCUACUACCAGCUCUUCCAAAAUUACAACUUUGUGUUCAUGUAUUUGUUUGUCUUAGUGGCAAGAACAGCCCUCUCCAACCACUCAUGCCUGAAAAGUUUGGAUUGCCUUACACUCCUUUCAAGCUUCCUCCCAUCCAUUCAACUUCUGGCUGUGAAUGCUUUCCUAUCCAACACCCACUCCUGGAUGGCAGUGUUUUAAUAAUAAUAAUACCAUUUACUAAACCCCUUUCAUGUGCCAGGCACUGUAGUUAAGUCUCAGAGCAGCACUGUUGGAGAGGAGCAUUGUCGUACCUUUUUGUGGGAGGACACUGAGGCUUUCACAGGGUAAGUACCUUGUUGGAGUUCACAUGAUAAUAAAUGGAGAACCAGAAACUGACCUCAGGUCUGUCCGACUGCAAAACCAUCCUCCUACCACCGUACCACACUCUCAAAGGCAUGUAUGUCUCUUAUUUUACAGAAUGAAGAAGAUACUUAACAAUAGUUUUGAUGGACUAGAAAAUCAACAGAGAUAAUAUCCAUAUUCGUAUUGGUAGCCCCAUUGUAUUUAGAUAGUGUGAGCCAGCAGUGUUCACUUCCACCCAAUUCAGGGACUUCCUCUAGCAAGGUAUUGCAGUUUGGAAGUGGGAACAGAAGAGACUGUGCAAUCUUCACAGGAGAACAUUGUCAUGACAAAGAGGACAAACAAGUUCAAGGCAAAAAACUAAACCAUAACCUUGGGAUUCAAGGAAAAAGUCAUCAAGCACAGAGCUCCCGCCAUUUCUGUUCUUUGGCAACCCUGAAAAAGCUGAAAGAGGCUGAUCAUCGCUAAUGUAUUGAACAUCUUUUGAAGCCCCAAUGACUGCCACCAACAAAGAACAGACACAUGUGCUAUCUGGGUGAGCACUUCCUCCUGACUCCUUAACAAAACCCUCCCUGAAAGGUUGAUAAGCAAACAGGCUUCACAACAGAAGGGCAGCUCAUUCCCCAGAGGGACUGACGGAAGCCAUAUUCCCAACACAGGAAAAGAAAGCAGGACAUGGGUGAUUCUGAGAAAGGUGCAGCCUUCCAGGGCAGACAGGAAGCACUGACAUAUGGCAACUGAAUCAAAGGGGAUCAUGAAGUCUCUGUUCAAUCGUUUGAGUCACGAAGUCUCCAAUCCUUCAGCAACAUGGUACUUUGAGCAUGACUUCAGCAAAACCAAGGUUAUAGGUGAUGGUUAUGAUGAUGAAUAAAAGAGCAGUGCAGAGUGAAAAUGAAGAAUAAAUUUGACUUUGAUUUUAGUUCAGGGGUGUAGAUGGAUAUUUUGCCCAGGAUUUGCAACUUGGAUUUUGGGAGAUUGCUUUCCAUGAGGAUUUUGAAUCCUUAUAGAUAAUAUAUUAAUUUAGAGUAGAAUAGAGAUGAAUUCAAAUGAAGAGUGAGAGAAGUUGUAUUUCGAGGAAUAAGAAAGCAGGUAUAAAAACAUUCAGUGAACUUUUAAAUCAUGCUAUAGACAAUCAUCAUAAUGAUGCUACUUAGGAAAGUCAGAGUCACGAAGCUCUGGAUAUAGUUUUUCUGUACUCUGUUGCAAAGGGAAUUCUUUGGUAGAGAAAAUAGAUGGAAGCCUGUCAGUCGCAGAGAAGAAAGUGGAAUGCAGGAGAGUGGGUUCCUAGAGGGAUGUUGCUUUCAAUCUACUUCCCUGCUGCAGUUUCUAGCCAGCACAUGGUAACCACCUCUCUCUUCUGCCACCUUCUGAAGUUACUCAGAUAAAUCUCUGUUCCUUUGACCCAAAAGAAGUGCCCCCCACCAGCCACCUCUGUCCCAUUACAUGGCCCAUUAUGCUUACCUUAUCUCAAAGAUACACUCGAGUUAUUGGAAAUUUCCCAUAAAGAUUCCCACACUCCUGAAAGCGGAAAGAACACAGCAGGAAAAGACGAACUAGGAUGUGUGUUAGUGUAUGUAAUUAUAUUGAGGUUAGAAAUGGAAAACACACCUGAUGCUCUGCGUUAUUAUUUUAAAAACAGCAAUAAGAACAAACUGGAAGCUCAGAAUGAUGCCCUGGAGAGAAUUAUUCUUUUUCUGACAUUUAUUUAGAUUCCCCUUUGAGAAAUAGCUUUAUUUUCAGUGAUUUCUUGGGUGAGUAAAAUAACAUUUCACUCAAGAGUUAAAAGGGGUCAGUUUGGGUCUUGUCAGGGGUGCUUUGGAACUUUCUUGCUGACCUGGAAUUAGUGCACGUGCAUCUGAGUGCUACUCCAGCCACCCAGCACACCAUAAAAUAUGUUUUCCGCUACAGUGAUAUUGCUGGCAGUGCAUAAAACAAAUGGACUGGGUCAGAAAUAGUCAGACUCCACCUUUAAAUGGAUUCUUCUGGAUGUAUGUUACUUUGGAGAGCACUUUUGAAACAUUCUUCUAUUAAGGUUUUCAUUAUGAUUUUAACUCCUGUCUACAGAAGCUAUUCAUUAAUUCAAUUAGUCCUUAUUGCCAACGUAGAGGGUGAGUUCUAUAUUGUAAGCCCCAAUGCACAGAUGCAGAAACCGAGGUUCAGAAGCUUUGACAUCUUGCCCCAGGUCUCUUAGAUGUUAGUAGCUAAUCUGGGAUGCAAACCAGAUGCCUGAAUCAAGUCUUUGUUCUCUUCAUUCUGCUGCACUGGUUCGUCUGACUUGAAAUUGCAUCAGUUAGGGUUUGGGUUCAGCUGCAUACAAAAAAAUCCGAGUGGCUGCCAGUUAGACUAAACAGAGAUUUAUUUUUCUUCCAUAUAACAAUAAAUUCAGACAUAAACAGUCUGAAGCUGGUGGAAAGAAAAUGCUUUCUGGUUUCCCAGUGUGAUUAGGCACAUGAAGGCAGUUGCAAUUCCAGCCCUCAUGACUGUAAUCCAGACUGCAGAAAGGAGUUAGAAACAAGAAAAUCACGUGGCACUUACAUCAGGAAAGCACAGUAUUUUUCAGAAAUACACAGAAAUAACCAGAAAUGUGUCUCACAUGAUCAUUGCUGGUCAUCUAAUCUCCCUAGAAAAGUAAUUUUUAUCUUAUAACAUUGCUGCCCCAACAAAAUAGAGAUUCCCUCAGUAAAAAGGAAUGAAGGAAUGGAUUUUCUGUUAGUACCCAGAGAAGUAUCUGUCUCCAAAAAUAUCUAUCUUUCCACUUCAAAAAUAAUCAAAUGUUUUCUUAGGGCAUUUUUGUCCCAAAGCCUAUUCCCACCCCUUGUUUUAUGUUCCUCAAUUUAGAGCAUGAACACUUGCUGGCUGACCCAUGGUCCCUUUGGCUGAAUGUCAGCCAGCUGUAAAAGGACUAUGUAUAUGAAGACCACACCAGCUAGAAGCUUAACUCAAGGUUUCAUUGUUUUAAAGGACUUAAUAUUCUUCUAGUUUAUGCAGAAUCUCACUGGGUAAAGUUGCAGAAAAAAAUUCUAGAAUAGAAGAGAACAGUUUGGAAUAUGUAAUUCAACUAUUUCUAAGUAAUAGAGAAAGGCAACAAAAAUGUCAAUAUUACAGGCAUCAAAUACUUUAGCUAAUCAGGUAAUGUUAUUGAGUUGGAAGCUGACCCUAUCACCAUAGGUAUCUGUUUUCCUAAGUUACUCAUCUUAACCGCUGAUUCACACUGUUCACCCUCCCACUCGGCAGUGGAAGUUAAAUGGCUUGUGAUUCACAAUCUCAGCCUUAGAGAAGAGAUUUGUAAUAACAGAUGUUUAUAAUGUGCCUCUAGUUUCCCUUGGCCUUCUCUUCCUCCUCACUAAAUCCCUCAUUCUAGACCAUGGAAUUUUACAAGGGACUUGAUGUCCUUGGGUCUUGCUGAGACAGAAGAUAUUCACAAAGGCUUGGACGAAAAGCUCCUCAGCCAUCAAAUUGGCUAAUUCAUUCCAGAUUAUGCUGAAUGUAAGCUCUCCAGACGAAGAAACCAUCAUCUAACACAGGGGUGAGGUGGGGCACGGUGACGGGAGGAUCAGAUGAAGAGGAGUCAGCAGUAAUAACGGAAAAGGAAGGCCCAGGGUGAUUGGAGAAAAGCCAGGACAGUGUGAGGACUCUAAGCCCAGCAUUAGAACUUCAAGAAGAAUGGAGAGGUCAACAAUGUCAAAUUCUCCAACAUCUGAGGAAGAGAGCAAGAUGAAAGCAUUGGGUUUAGAAAUGUGAAUGUAAUUGAUGAGCUUGCUAAGGUAGUUUCAGAGGGACGAUAGUGAAAAAACAAAAAGAUAAAGCCUGUGCUCGGUAAAAAUUUAGAGAAAAGGAAAAUUUAAAGUAGGGACUUCGGUGGCUGACUGGUCAUUUUUUGAAAGGCCUCUCGGUGAGGGGAAGGAGAAAGAGAUAAUUGGAGCCAGAGGGACGUGCAAGGUUGGUGGCAUUUGUUAUUAAGACCACAUCAGCUAGAGGCUUAAACCCAAGGUUUCAUUGUUGGGUUUCAUAGUAUGGUAAAAUCUUGGGUGUGGUUUUAGUCUAUGGGAAAGUAGUCAAUUAAGACUAGGAAUAGAAAUGUGUUUACAAGCAAAUGGAACAGGAGCUGAAGGAGAUGACACCCUGAAUUAAAAUUUAAUUAAUAUCACAGAGAAUGCUUUUCUAUCAUGGUUUCAUUAAACACAGAGCCUUCACUUCUAAAUAUUCAAAUACACAUAUAUACAUACACAUACACACACACCUUUAUACAAACUUUAAGUGUGUGGAGUGUUAGAAACCUCACUGUGUAAAAACUGAAACUAUAACAUGGGAAAUGAAGAAAGGUGAUUAUUUAGAUGAGAACACAUAUAAUAAUAAAAGUAACACAUUUUACGGUUUCUUUAAAUGUUUAUUCAUCCCUCUACACAAUUAAAUAGCAUGUGUUUUAGACAUUUUUAUUAUUUUCCAUUUUCCAGCUGUACAUACCAUGAGAGAUAUAGGUUCUAUAACUAUUUGGAGCUAUACAAAUAGAAAGAGGAAUAAGAAAAUGUUAUGUCCUCUCUCCUCUUUAAAAAAAAAAUUCUGUU
rnacentral:lncRNA from 10 species